CAAUGUUAGGGCUCAAAAAUAUCUCAUUCCCAACCCCAAUCUCAUCAUUUUCUCGACCCAAAUUCACUUUCCCUUCUUGUCCUCUACAAACCCAUAUCAAAAUCCCCAAAAUCCAAUCGAGAUUUCUGCUUUUCGCACUAAAUAACAACAAUUCGCAAGAACCCAACAAACAAAAACAGGAAAAGCUAAAUGGGUCGGCUGAUAAUGGAGGCGGCGGCGAUGAUUUGAAGGAAGAUCGACCUCCCUUACUGAAGAAUAUCAAGUGGGGUGAGCUGCUGCUUGACCCAGAUCCUGAUAACAUCGUAGCCGUUGGAUUAACGGGGUUGCUCGCAUGGGCAAGUGCUCAAGUUCUGUGGCAGCUGUUCCUAGUCUCUGCGGCCAUUCUUGUUGCUGCUCUCAAGUACUCUUUUAUUGCUGCUCUGCUUAUUUUCAUUCUCAUUACACUUCUUUAGUGAUUUUGCUUUCUUCAUACUAAUAAUUUUUCGACCAAUUUUUGUACAGUUGUUUUAUGUAAUGCAAUUCCC
rnacentral:misc_RNA from 1 species